rnacentral:tRNA from 1 species
GCCUGGGUGGCUCAGUUGGUUGAGCGUCCGACUUGGAUUCAGGUCAUGAUCUCGCGGUCUGUGGGUACAAGCCCCGCAUUGGGCU